GACGAACGCUGGCGGCGUGCUUAACACAUGCAAGUCGAGCGGUAAGGCCCUUUCGGGGGUACACGAGCGGCGAACGGGUGAGUAACACGUGGGUGACCUGCCUUUAGCUCUGGGAUAAGCCUGGGAAACUGGGUCUAAUACCGGAUAUGACCCUAUGGCGCAUGUUGUGGGUGGAAAGCCUUGUGCGGCUAGGGAUGGGCCCGCGGCCUAUCAGCUUGUUGGUGGGGUGAUGGCCUACCAAGGCGACGACGGGUAGCCGGCCUGAGAGGGCGACCGGCCACACUGGGACUGAGACACGGCCCAGACUCCUACGGGAGGCAGCAGUGGGAAUCUUGCGCAAUGGGCGAAAGCCUGACGCAGCGACGCCGCGUGAGGGAUGACGGCCUCGGUUGUA
rnacentral:rRNA from 1 species